CAUAAUUUUCCCUUUAAAUGGCUGAGAGAAAAUUUUGAACAAAAGCUACAAACAUUUUUCAGAUUCUUGAUUCUCCAGACUUAUUACUUGAGGGCAGUGACUAAAUUAUAUUCAGUUCUAUAUCAGAAGGUUCUUCCAUAUUGCCGGUUUCAUGGUAGAUACUCAAUAAAAUGAGUUGAAUGACUACAUAAAUUUUAGCAAGAGCAUAUGGAAAAUAAUUUAUCAUGACUUUGGGUAAUACUAUAGGUGUAAUUAUUGUCCUUUCUCUUUCCUGACUUGAUUAAUAGCACCACUAUCCAUUAAGUUAUUAAAGGUAGAAAGCUGAGAUUAUUCUUGACUCCUUUUCUCACUGGUCCAGUAUUAGUUAUUUAUUGCAGUGUAAGAAAUUACCAUGAAACUUAGUGGCUUAGUUGGGGCUUGAUGGGGGCUGGAGGAUCCACUGCAAGAUGGCUCAGUCACUUGGCUGGCAAGGUGGUGCUGGCUGUUAGCCUCCCAUCUGAUCCUCCUCUUUCCGCUCCUGCCACUCUUCAAGGUAUUUUUUCCAGAGCAGCCAUUCAUCAUUCAUUUAUUUUUUCCCAUUAAUUAAUUCAACAGAUAUUUAUUGUAUACUUACCAUAUGCCAGAUUUGUUCUAGGUUCUUGGAAUAUAGCAGUGAAAAAAAAACAGUCCUUGGAUCUUAUAUACAGUGGGGAAAUAAACAUAUAAUGUAGAAAAUUAGAUGGUAAUAUGUGUGAGCACAUAUAUUUAUUAUUUCUCAUCAUUUCUGAGACAGGAGAUGGGUAUUCUGGCUUGGGGACUCACAUGAGGUCACAGUUACAUGUUGGUGUUGGUUUGGUCAUAUGAAGGCUUGGUGGGGGCUGGAGGAUCCACUGUGAGAUGGCUCAAUCCCUUGGCUGGAAAGUUGGUGCUGGCUGUUGUUGGCAGGCCUUGCUUCCUCUUCACAGGGCUUCUUGAGUGUCUUCAUGACAUGGCGGCUGGCCUAUCCCAAAAUAAGCUGUCCAAGAGAGCAGGGCAGAAGUGUCCAUGCCAUUUAUGGCCUCACCAUGGAAGUCACACACAAUCACUUCUGCAAUAUAUACUGAUUACCCAGAUCUGCAUCGUUCAGUGUGGGAGGGGACCACAAAAAGGCACAAAUGCCAAAAGGCAAGGACCAUUGGGGCCAUUUUGGAGGCUAUUUACCACAGCCCCUCUCUUCCAUAUUCCAGCCCACCUGCAUAUUCUGUUGAUCCUCCUUCCAAAAAUGUAUCUCAAACCAAAUGACUAAUUUUCAUUUCUGUUGGCUCUAGCCUAGUCCAAGACUCUAUCAACACUUGACUUGAAGAGUCUCCCGUCUGAUAUUCCUCUUUCUGCUCUUGCCCCCCUUCAAGGUAUUUCUCCCAGAGAAGCCAUUCAUCAUGCAUUCAUUAUUCUCCAUUCAUUAAUUCAACAAAUAUUUAUUGUACGCUUACCACAUGCCAGAUUUAUUUUAGGUUCUUGGGAUAUAGCAGUGAAAAGUCCUUGGGCUUUACAUACAGUGGGAAAAUAAAUAAUAUGGAAAAUGUUAAAGGCAACAUAUGUGAUCCAGAAAAUUAUAGCACGGUGAAGGAAAUAGGAAACAAUAGAAAAGUUAGGGACUUCUGGCUAUAGUAUUAUAUAGGGCUGUCAAGGGUGCUAUCUCUGAUUAGCUUACAUUGAAACAGAAACCCAAAAGACAGUAGAGGGCAGGUAUGUUAAUAUCUGGGCAAGUAUUCUAAGCAGAGGAAAAAGAAAAUGCAAGGGCCCUGAGGCAGGAUCGUGUUUGGUAUGUUUGAGGAAUAGCUGUUCUGUUCCGUUGUGGCUGGAACAGAAGGAGGAGGGCGGGAGGGGAGGGUGAUGGAGAAUGGUACAUGAUGGAGGUCAGAUUAUGUAGGGCCUUGUAGACUACAAUGAAGACUUUGGCUUUGUUUUGGGUUGGUGGGGGACAAGGAAAGCUAUUGGAAUGUUUUAGUGACUUGAUGUGACUUACUUUUUAAUAGGAACAUUUGGGCUGCUCAGCCCAUGAUGUUUAAAAAUGCCAUCAGGUCACUUCCACUGUUUAAAACCUUUCAAUGGAUUCUGGUUGUACUUAGAAUAAAAUCUAAGCUCCCUUAGCUAUUAUUAUUAUCUCAUUAUUAAAAUUGACAUCCUUUAUUCUCUAUUACAGCAGUCUAAUUCCUUCCUAAUAUGUACCUCACUAGUAACUAUUAUUAUUAUUGCUUAUUUGUUUAUAAUCUGUCUCCUCUACUUGAAAAUAUGUAGCCUGGGGAUCUUGUGGAUUUCCAUACUAAAUCAUCCCAAGGCCACUUUGCUUUUGAGCUCUGUGUGUGUGUGUGUGUGUGUGUUUUGAUCUCUUCUGUAAUUUUUUUUCCCCUGAUCUCGCUGAUUGUUAUAUUUGGUCAGUGACUGACCUCUAGCAAUGAUGGUGCCAGGGCAACUUUGUUGUUGAACUGUAUGUUAAGGUUUGUUUUGGCUUGUUGGUUAUAUCAGUACUUAUCAAAUGAAUUAUCUGGGAAGAGAGGAGAGGAUCUUAUUAAAAUACAGGUUCUUAUUCAGUAGGCCUUGGGUGGGGCUUGAGGUUCUGCAUUUCUUUCUUUCUCUUUCUUUCUUUUUCUUUCUAUUUCUUUCUUUCUCUUUUUUCUUUCUCUUUCUUUCUUUUUCUUUUUUCUUUCUUUCUCUUUCUUUCUUUCUCUCUUUCUUUCUUUCCUUCCUUUCUUUCUUUCUUUCUUUCCUUCCUUCCUUUCUUUCCUUCCUUCCUUCCUUUCCUUCCUUCCUUCCUUCCUUCCUUUCCUUCCUUCCUUCCUUCCUUCAGACAGAGUCUCACUCUGUAGCCCAGGCUGGAGUGCCGUGGUGCCAUCUUAGCUCACUGCAACCUCUGCCUCCCAGGUUCAAGCAAUUCUCCCACCUCAGCCUCCGGAGUAGCUGGGACUACAGGCGUGCACCACCAUGCUCAGCUAAUUUUUGUAUUUUUAGUAGAAAUAGGGUUUCACCACAUUGACCAGGCUGGUCUCGAACUCUGGAGCUCAAGUGAUCUGCCCACCUCAGCCUCCCAAAGUGCUGGGAUUUCAGGUGGAGCCACCAUGCCCAGCUGAGGUUCUGCAUUUCUAUCAAGCUUGCAGGUGAUGCCCAUGCUGCCAGCCCUUUGAGUAACAAGGGGGCUUUAUUACUGAGCUUGGCUGAACAUUGGAAUCAUCUGUGGAGCUUUAAAACUACUAAUGCUGGGCUCUCAACCCCAGAGAUUGCAAUAUCAUCAGUCUAGAAUGCAGUUUGAGUACUAGGAUUUUGAAAAGCUUCAUAAGUGAUUCUAUUUUGUAGAAAUAUUGAGAACUACUAGAUUGGAUGAUAUUGAAUCCAAUUUUAAAACAAGAUGUAGCAAUAAAUGUUCUUCAGCGCUGUGUUGCUGACUUUUUAGAAAGUCAGUUUUGUAGCUCUAGAAAGAAUCUGGCUGCAUCCAUGGAUGACCUCCAGAUCUCUGCUUAGCAUGACUGGGUAAUUUCUCCAAUGUCUCCAGCACAUGCUGUCACUUAACAGCAGAAAGAGAAUUCCUACUUUCAGGAGAAAAGUCAUUCCUGAAGAUUACAGUUAAAAUAUGCCUACAGAUGAUGAGGUUGUAGUAAAUCAGUCCCCUUGCUCUCUGAGCUUGUUCUAAGUUACAGGAAGCAGAAGAAGCAGAGAAGCACUCCAUUUCUUUUUUCUUGUAAUCUCUAGCAUGUUCACAUGCAUAGUUUCUGAGUCAGUAGCAAACUAAGAACUUCUUGUGUGAUUCAAGCUAACUCCUCGAUUAUCAGAAGCAGAUGUUUCAAACGACUGAAGAUCAGUGAGGCAUAUCCUAUUUACAGGUUAAUAAUUGACUGCUAGAUGCAGGUGCACCAAAUGGUCUUAGAGACAUUAGAUAGGAGAGACAAUGUCAGUGCUCCCCCUACCCUGCCUCCCCUAAUCUAAAGCCUACUCUGUUUCUUUUAUCAAGUGAUUGGCUGUAUGUUAACAGAGCCUGGGGCACUUUCCUGUUGAAAUGCCUUUAAUCCCAAGCAACUGGAUUGAUUUUUUUUUUUUUUUGGAUGGUUUAGAUUGGACGACUGAUUAUUGGACAGAAUGGCGUCUUGUCGACACCUGCGGUCUCCUGCAUUAUCAGGAAGAUCAAGGCAGCUGGUGGAAUCAUUCUAACAGCCAGCCACUGCCCUGGAGGACCAGGGGGAGAGUUUGGAGUGAAGUUUAAUGUUGCCAAUGGAGGGCAGACUUCUUGGAGGAAGUGAAAUUUGAACUGCGAUGUGAAGAAUGAGCAGGAGUUAGUGAGGUGAAGAUGAGAGAAGGAGUGUUGCAAACACAGGUCAGUCUGUGCAAAGGCCCUGAGACACAAGGAGCCUAGAACCACGGCUCGAAGACAACCGUCUGGCUGGGGCAUGGCUCGUCUUACAGAUCACAUUAAGGAACAAAUAAUUAUGUUAAGAGUUAUGGGCUGCCAUUAAGGAUUUGGAUAAGAGAGUCUUACAAUCACAUCUGUGUUUUCUAAAGGCCUGACACUGAUUGGUACAUGGAGUACAGCCUGAAGGGAACAAGACUUGUUAGAAAGGAAGCUAUUGGCUGGGUGUGGUGGCUUGUGCCUAUAAUCCCAGCACUUUGGGAAGCUGAGGUGGGCAGAUUACUUGAGGCCAGGGAGUUUGAGAUCAGCCUGGCCAACACGGUGAAACCCCGUCUCUACUAAAAAUACAAAAAUUAGCGGGUUGUGGUGGUGAGCACCUAUAAUCCCAGCUGCUUGGGAGGCUGAGGCAGGACAAUUGCUUGAACCUGGGAGGCUGAGGUUGCAGUGAGCCCAGACUGCACCACUGCACUCCAGCCUGGGUGACAGAGACUUCCUUUCCAAAAUAAAAUAAAAAAAAAAAGAAAGAAAGAAGAAAGAAAGAAAGGAGGCUAUUGCAGUAAUGCAAGUGAGAGACCAUGGUGGCUUAGGCAAUGGUGGAGAUGGAGGAAUUUGGGGGAAUUGAUUGGGUUCAAGAAAUAGGCAGGAGGAAACACGAUGGAUUGGGUGGGAGUAGGGAAACAGAUGAGAAGAGGUAUCAGGAAUGCUGCCUAGGUUUCUGGUCUGUGCCACUGUGUGGAUGAUGAGGUCAUCUACUAGAGGAUGUGUCAGUGGUGGAGGCCAAGGUCUGAAAGUGGAGGGGGGAAGAGUGAGAGAGAAAAUUGUAAGUUUACCUUUAUGUUCAGCUGAGGUCCUUUCGAAACAUACAAGCAGCAGUAUGAAUAAUUCCAUUGAUAUAUUUGUCCGGGGCCCAGAGUGAGGUUUAAAUAAGAAGAAAUAAACUCUCUAGUAAAAAUUGCAGACACACAAAAGGCUUGAACAGGCACUUCACAAAAUAGAUUAUCCAAAUGACCAAUAAAUACAUAAGUACUCAACAUCAUUAGCCAUUAGAAAAAUGCAAGUUAAAACCACAAUGAGAUACCAUUUCACACUAGAAUGAAUAAAAUUUUAAAAGACUGACAAUGCUAAAUGUUCCCAGGAUGCAGAACAACCAAAACCCUCAUAUAUUAUGGGGGACAUGGAAAAUUGUACAACUCCUUUGGAAAACAAGUAGUUUCUACAGAAUUUCAAUAUAUACAUACCAUACAACUCAGCCAUUGCAUUCCUAUUUACCCAACAGAAAUAAAAUCAUUUGUCUACUGAAAAAUUUGCAAAAU
rnacentral:lncRNA from 1 species